UGUUUGCAUGUGUCUGCAUG
rnacentral:misc_RNA from 1 species